rnacentral:tRNA from 1 species
UGACCUGUAAUGUAAUGGUAACAUACAAGACUUUGACUCUUGAAUUGGGGGUUCGAAUCCCCCCGGGUUGU